rnacentral:rRNA from 1 species
GAUGAACGCUAGCGAUAGGCUUAACACAUGCAAGUCGAGGGGCAGCGAGGGUAGCAAUACCUGUCGGCGACCGGCGCACGGGUGAGUAACGCGUAUGUAACCUGCCCGCAACAGGGGGAUAACCCGGCGAAAGUCGGACUAAUACCGCAUAAAACAGGGGUCCCGCAUGGGAAUAUUUGUUAAAGAUUUAUCGGUUGCGGAUGGGCAUGCGUACCAUUAGGUAGUUGGUGAGGUAACGGCUCACCAAGCCUUCGAUGGUUAGGGGUUCUGAGAGGAAGGUCCCCCACACUGGUACUGAGACACGGACCAGACUCCUACGGGAGGCAGCAGUGAGGAAUAUUGGUCAAUGGGCGAGAGCCUGAACCAGCCAAGUCGCGUGAAGGAUGACUGCCCUAUGGGUUGUAAACUUCUUUUACAAGGGAAUAAAAUGAGAUACGGGUAUUUUAUUGCAUGUACCUUGGGAAUAAGCAUCGGCUAACUCCGUG